UACGUAGGGGGCAAGCGUUGUCCGGAAUUAUUGGGCGUAAAGAGCGCGUAGGCGGUCCGAUAAGUCGGCUGUGAAAGUCCAGGGCUCAACCCUGGAAAGCCGGCCGAUACUGUCGGACUAGAGUCCGGAAGAGGCAAGUGGAAUUCCCGGUGUAGCGGUGAAAUGCGCAGAUAUCGGGAGGAACACCAAUUGCGAAGGCAGCUUGCUGGGACGGUACUGACGCUGAGACGCGAAAGCGUGGGGAGCAAACAGGG
rnacentral:rRNA from 1 species